ensembl:misc_RNA
CGGCAGGCGUGGUGCUUCGGGCCGGAGCGGAGAGCCGUUGGCAGCUGCGGGACCGCGGGGUGGGCUCGGUGGGCUGCGCGGAGCUCGGCUCUGCGGGGAGGCUCAGACAGCCCCGGGCUGCGCGCCCACCCCGCCGCUCCUGGCCCUGGCCCGGUGCACAAAGCUGCGCGCCUGUCUGUCGCCCUCCGCCCGGCUUUGCACCCAGCA